GAGGGUAUAACCUAGUGGUAGAGCGCAUGCCUAGCAUGCACAAGGUCCUGGGUUCAAUCCCCAGCACCUCCA
rnacentral:tRNA from 1 species